rnacentral:rRNA from 1 species
GACGAACGCUGGCGGCGCGCUUAACACAUGCAAGUCGAGCGAGAACCGGGGCUUCGGCCCCGGGGACAGCGGCGAACGGGUGAGUAACACGUGGGCAACCUGCCCUCGGCACCGGAAUAGCCCGGGGAAACCCGGAUUAAUGCCGGAUGGCCCCUCAGCCCUGCGGGGCGGUGGGAAAAGGUAGCUUUGGCCUCCGGCCGAGGAUGGGCCCGCGGCGGAUUAGCUUGUUGGUGGGGUAACGGCCUACCAAGGCUCCGAUCCGUAGCUGGUCUGGGAGGACGAUCAGCCACACUGGGACUGAGACACGGCCCAGACUCCUACGGGAGGCAGCAGUGGGGAAUCUUGCGCAAUGGGCGAAAGCCUGACGCAGCGACGCCGCGUGAGGGAAGAAGGCCUUCGGGUUGUAAACCUCUGUCAGGAGGGACGAAGCCACUCGGGUGAAUAGCCCAGAGGGUGACGGUACCUCCAGAAGAAGCCCCGGCUAACUACGUGCCAGCCGCCGCAGUAA